rnacentral:misc_RNA from 1 species
CUCAAAAGCAAAAGAGGUCAAAAACAUGAUUCUCUAGAAUUUGUUUGCAGUUGUUGAUAUCGCAUUUGGAGACUUCUUCCAUAUUAGAGGUGAAGCAGCAGUCUCCAUUCCUUUAAGACCAAACAGAUUCAAGUUGCAUUUUCUGGUUUCCUGUAUUGCUGCCGAUUCUUCAUCAAAGCAUUGUUCGUUGGGGCAAUUCACUCAGUCGCAUGAAGAAAUAAUCCUGGACAACCAGGGAUUAUUUCAAAGGAGCCCUCUAUUUUUACUUCUUUUUUCAUUCUCAUGUAUUUGAAUGCUUAAUUGAUUUAGA